ensembl:misc_RNA Y_RNA Y RNA
GGCUGGUCCGAUUGCAGUGGGUUAUCAGAACUUAUUAACAUUAGUGUCACUAAAGUUGGUAUACCACCCCCCUCCCCACUGCUAAAUUUGACUGGCUUAAA